rnacentral:rRNA from 1 species
CAAAAGCGUAUAUUAAAGUUGUUGCAGUUAAAAAGCUCGUAGUUGAACCUUGGGCUUGGCUGGCCGGUCCAUCUUUUUUGAUGCGUACUGGACCCAGCCGAGCCUUUCCUUCUGGCUAGCCUUUUGGCUAACCAGGACUUUUACUUUGAAAAAAUUAGAGUGUUCAAAGCAGGCCUUUGCUCGAAUAUAUUAGCAUGGAAUAAUAGAAUAGGACGUUAUGGUUCUAUUUUGUUGGUUUCUAGGACCAUCGUAAUGAUUAAUAGGGACGGUCGGGGGUAUCAGUAUUCAGUUGUCAGAGGUGAAAUUCUUGGAUUUACUGAAGACUAACUACUGCGAAAGCAUUUACCAAGGACGUUUUCAUUAA